UCACUAUAUUGCACACCUAAAACUAAUAUAACACUGGAACCAAGUGGUGGGGGCUGGGCUGAUCAGACCAGUAAAGCUGCCGUAGCUGGCAGAACAGCCUGACUGGGGGUGCUGCUUAGCUAAGCUGCUAGAGAACCACCGUUAGCCACCAUGGUCUGUACUCUUUUGUUUGGUUGGUUUUGGUUUUGGUUUCUGGGUGUUUUUUUUUUUUUAGGUGUGAAAUGAAAAAUAGAGUGAAGUGCAGGAAACACAUAAGUAUUAAAGAGUACUGCCUGAGAGACAUUUACAUAUGUACGCGAAACCAAUACCUAACUCAUGAUAUGGAAUGUUUCCAGCACGCUGUAGCGUAUGUGAAAUAAACCAUGAUUGGAAAGCGGUUGGCAUUCCAGGCUUUCCUGAUCCCAUGGCCGAGCAGGAGAGCAACACGGGUGCUGAAGGGCAUAAAUCCAGUGACUGGCCCAGUAUUAAUACAGAAAGACUUUUGUCCUAGGAAAUCCCUCAGUCCAAAGCAAACUGGAUGGUUUGUCACCCCAAAGGCAUGAGGCACAGUGGGGCAACUGAAAGUACACACGCCUCCUCAUGACCGGCACUUGGUCGCCCUGCCCACCAUCCAGGGGCCACAGCAAGUCUCGUGUUUAAACCCAGCUCCCAGGCCUCUUGUGCAAAUUGCAGAGUCACAGGGCAAGCGGUGUGGUGAAGAGGCGACAAAAAUUGGUGCCUGUAAGUCAAUGUACCAGCAUAUCUGAUAGGAUCGCGGCUCCCCACGCUUGUGUCUCACCACGGCAGUUCCGUCCGGUGUUUCCCUAAGUAGGGCCUGCAGCACCUGUGUAUUUGCAUUCUUCUGGGUCCCAGCAGCGCAUCCAAUGAGUUUCCCUCCGCCGAUCUUGGCUUCUUGAACGGAAAGAUUUCUGGAUACUUCAGCCUCUUAAAUUUACACUCUGGUGAAUAUCAGGGUGUGUGCGGCUCCCGGAAGUCUCACCUGCCCUGCCUCACAUGAAAUAAGAGCCUUCAAAUGUUCUUGGGGGAAAAUCCCCUGAUUUAAAUCCUUUUGAAUGUGUCACUUUGUCAUUUUAAAGAUACUGGUUUUGUUGAGUCUCUGAUGCAGGAACUAUGUCAGAAUCUGUUUUCCCGGAGACUUAAUAUGGCUCUGGCCAUGUUUUCCUAACGACAAAUCAGGUGCACGGGCUGACAAGGAGAGGGACAGCAGAAAGGACUGUUUAAAACUGGCAAUUACUGCAUUUGACAUAUUGCCUAUUUACUGAGUAUUUGUAUUCUUCAUAUUUCCUCUCACAGGGUAUUAAAUUUUGAUUAAACCCCAGGACCUCUGACUGGCUUCCAUAAAUAGAGAAAACUCUGUAGUCUUAGGCAAUGUUUUUAUAUGCAUAAUGAGUUGCUAACUUAUCAUGCUAAUUGCUCUGAUGUUUAUCCCCCUAAGUCCUAAGCACUCCCUUCGGAUUUGCACCACAUCUUCCUACCAGCCUAUGGCAUUCUGGGUGAUAAGCAAUAUUUUUUAAAUAAGGUUCCAUUUCCACAAACAUUGUAUCACCUCUAAAAGAAAUUUAUACCUCUGCCGGGACCUCAAGCCAGAAACAUCCAAUGAAAACACAUAAAACAUUCUCUGGAAUA